UGGUUGAUCCUGCCAGUAGUCAUAUGCUUGUCUCAAAGAUUAAGCCAUGCAUGUCUAAGUAUAAACAACUUUAUACGUGUGAAACUGCGUACAGCUCAUUAAAUCAGUUAUAAUUUAUUUGAUGGUCUCUUCUACAUGGAUAACCGUAGUAAUUCUAGAGCUAAUACAUGCGUAAAGUCCCGACUCGCGAGGGGAGGGAUGUAUUUAUUAGUUAAAAAACCAAUGCGGGCCUCUGGUCCGCUCACCUUGGUGAGUCAUAGUAACUGUUCGAAGCGCAUCGACUCGUGCCGGCGCUAGUUCAUUCAAAUUUCUGCCCUAUCAGCUUUCGACGGUAGUGUAGUGGACUACCGUGGCGUUAACGGGUAACGGGGAAUUAGGGUUCGAUUCCGGAGAGGGAGCCUGAGAAACGGCUACCACAUCCAAGGAAGGCAGCAGGCGCGCAAAUUACCCAAUCGUGACACGCGGAGGUAGUGACAAUAAAUAACAAUACCGGGCCUUUUCAGGUCUGGUAAUUGGAAUGAGAACAACUUAAAUCCCUUAGCGAAUUCCACUGGUGGGCAAGUCUGGU
rnacentral:rRNA from 1 species